rnacentral:misc_RNA from 1 species
GGAAGGAUCAUCAGUGAUUCGGGGGGGCGGAGCCCGUAGGGCGACGACCCCCCAACCAAUCUUGUGUGAACUGUAACGCAAACAUGCGUGUAGGGAGAGGUUGGCAGGAGAAUGUAUGUUCCAACGGAACACCCGCCAACCACCCACCUCACGCACGCUUAUCACCUCCAACAAUCUUGUCUAACACUAAACACACCAAUAACACAACUUUUAACAAUGGAUCUCUUGGCUCUCGCAUCGAUGAAAAACGCAGCAAAUUGCGAAAAUUAAUGUGCAUUGCAGUACGUGAAUCAUCGAGUCUUUGAACGCAGCUUGCACUCUAGGUUCUCCUAGAGUAUGCCUAUUUGAGUAUCGUACCCACCCCACUCGAGCCGCAAGGCUUGGAUCUGAUCUGUGUGCCCUGGCACCAGCUUGAAUUGGAGUGAAUCGGGUCUGUGCGCACGCCGCUGCUGCCUGGUUCUGACGUGAUAAUCAACCAUCUCGUCAGCCUGUGCACAGCGUCAGUCAUAAAUCCCUCACAAACAACCCACCUUCUGAUAUCGAUCUCAAAUUAGGUAGGACUACCCGCUGAACUUAAGCAUAUCAUUAAGCGGAGGAAAAGAAACUAACAAGGAUUCCCCUAGUAACGGCGAGUGAAGCGGGAACAGCUCAAAUUUGAAAUCUGGCGCGGCAUGGCCGCGUCCGAAUUGUAGUUUAUGGUCCGCGCAUCGGUGACACCAGCCGGUAUAAUUUGCCUGGAACGGCAAGUCAUAGAGGGUGAUAGUCCCGUCCAUGACCGGCUGCGUGCGCGCCACACGUUGCGCGAACUUAGAGUCGAGUUGUUUGGGAAUGCAGCUCAAAAUGGGAGGUAGAUUUCUUCUAAAGCUAAAUAACGGCGAGAGACCGAUAGCGAACAAGUACCGUGAGGGAAAGAUGAAAAGAACUCUGAAGAGAGAGUGAAACAGUACGUGAAAUUGUUAAAAGGGAAACGCUUGAGACCGCUGUGGCGCGCAAGCGCCUGCCAACAUCGGUUGCGCGCGACGAAAAAAGCCGCGGGAAAUGUAGGACGCGCUUCGGCGCGUCUGUUAUAGUCCCGCGGCCAUGCGUCGCGCCGGACCGAGGUCUGCAGCCGCAAGGCUAAGGAUGUUGGCUGAAUGGUCUUAAUCGACCCGUCUUGAAACACGGACCAAGGAGUCUAACAUGCCUGCGAGUAUUUGGGUGGCAAACCCACGUGCGCAAUGAAAGUGAAUCAAAGGUGGGAGGCGCGCAAGCGUCGCACCAUCGACCAAAGCCGGGCUCACGCGCGGCUUUGCGUAAGAGCAUGCAUGCUAGGACCCGAAAGAUGGUGAACUAUGCCUGAAUAGGGUGAAGCCAGAGGAAACUCUGGUGGAGGCUCGUAGCGAUUCUGACGUGCAAAUCGAUCGUCAAAUUUGGGUAUAGGGGCGAAAGACUAAUCGAACCAUCUAGUAGCUGGUUCCUGC